UAGGUGGCAAGCGUUGUCCGGAUUUAUUGGGUUUAAAGGGUGCGUAGGCGGCUUUGUAAGUCAGCGGUGAAAUACUCUAGCUUAACUAGAGGGGUGCCAUUGAUACUGCGGAGCUUGAGUACAGAUGAGGUAGGCGGAAUUGACGGUGUAGCGGUGAAAUGCAUAGAUAUCGUCAAGAACACCGAUAGCGAAGGCAGCUUACUGGGCUGUAACUGACGCUGAUGCACGAAAGUGUGGGGAUCAAACAGG
rnacentral:rRNA from 1 species